UAACGGAUUUCUCGAUAAAUUGUCUACCUGUAAUUCAAUCUUGAGUUCGAUCACUGAAUCGUUAAAUUAAAGUCCCAAUUUAAUGGCUAUACAGUUAUCUUUAUUUCUAAUCCAAAGAAUUUAACUCUUAUUACUCAUUAUUCGAGCUUACAACUUAUUGCUUAUAGCUCAAACAGAGAACGUAAAUGAACGAGAAUGUGCAAAUUGAAUUUUGUAUGAUGUUUGAUUCGACGGCUAACAGAGCUGAAAAAUUCCGAUCAGGGAGUUCAUCAUUUUUCGGGAGGUGUUCGCCACAAUAUAUUAAUUACCAGAGAGCGCUACCACAGCGUUCUGAGUUCUUGCGUUAUAUAUGCAGUAGUUUGCAUGUUAAUGGUUACAAUGCAUUGGAGUUUUGGGUAGUCGGAACUUAUAUUUUUAAAACAUAUGUUCUGACACUGGAGCAGCGCGCAAAUAGAAAAAUGUUUACCUGGAGGUCAUUUAACAGAGCCUUUUUGUAGUUUUAAAACUCAACAAGAGAUUUAAAAUUUCGUGAUCUGUACGAACUGUAGAACGGCCGCCAGUGCUGAAAGGAGUUCGACGUGGAAGAACCUAUGCAAACUUUGUUAUUUAUUUGAUUUUUUUUUUAAAUUCAUUGUUUGAAAAAUAGAAAUAUUGAAAAAAAUGGACGGUAAAUGUAUAGGUUAGGUCCCUCAAUUAAGGAGGCGUCAAAAAUGAAUUUUUUUUUUUAAAUCGUCUUAUUUUUACUCGUAGAUUACAAAUCCGUGAGCGGAAAGUGAAAUUUUUUAAUAAUAUAUGUAUAUUUUUCAAAUUUAUAUAACACACUUCGCACAUAUCACAUAUUCAAGUCACUUAAUUGUUGUUGUAUGGGCAAAAUUCUGUAGAAUUCAGAUCACUUAGCUGUAAUUACCAGUUCAGCGUGUUAAACAUUUUCUUAUGAAGAAAAUAUACUGAAGAAAUGUAACAGUCACAAUUUCUUUUGCGCCGCGAUCGUCGAACUCCUUUCCGCACCGGGGUGUUCAUAAUUCAAUCGCGUCAAACUCCCUUGUGCACUGGCGGCCGCGCUUCAAAAAAAUAACCCUGGUCGGUUCAAAACCGGGGUGUUCAUAAUUCAAUCGCGUCAAACUCCUUUUCGCUGCUCUCAACCUCGAUGAUAAUUUUCAUCACGAUGCAAAAAACGUUUAUGAAGAAGAGGAGUAAAAACUUUAACAAUAUGUGAUUUUUUCAAAGAAAAAAAUAAAACAAUUAAUUUAAAUGUA